AGCGAACGCUGGCGGCAGGCCUAACACAUGCAAGUCGAACGAACCCUUCGGGGUUAGUGGCGGACGGGUGAGUAACACGUGGGAACGUGCCUUUAGGUUCGGAAUAACUCAGGGAAACUUGUGCUAAUACCGAAUGUGCCCUUCGGGGGAAAGAUUUAUCGCCUUUAGAGUGGCCCGCGUCUGAUUAGCUAGUUGGUGAGGUAAUGGCUCACCAAGGCUACGAUCAGUAGCUGGUCUGAGAGGAUGACCAGCCACAUUGGGACUGAGACACGGCCCAAACUCCUACGGGAGGCAGCAGUGGGGAAUCUUGCGCAAUGGGCGAAAGCCUGACGCAGCCAUGCCGCGUGGAUGAUGAAGGUCUUAGGAUUGUAAAAUCCUUUCACCGGUGAAGAUAACGACUGUAGCCGGAGAAGAAGCCCCGGCUAACUUCGUGCCAGCCGCCGCAGUAACAC
rnacentral:rRNA from 1 species